GAAGCGUUGGACAAGAGGUUAAGUCGCCACACUUUCACUGUGGAGAUCACGGGUUCGAUCCCCGUACGCUUUA
rnacentral:tRNA from 1 species